rnacentral:lncRNA from 1 species
UGUGAGCAAUUGUAAUCUAGACUCUAGCAUUCCAAUUUUUGUGUUGGGGUUUUUUGAUAAUGGAAGGUGAUGAUGAUCCGAUGAAGGCCCAAGAGGCCUCUGCCUCAGGCCCAGCAUAUAAGGGGGCAGCCCAAAAAAAUCUUGCAACCCUUUUUUAUUUUUUUUGGAAAACCCAAUUUCAACAGUUUCUUCUGCAGUCGGCUGCUCCUCCACUCCAAUCGCCACGAUUAGUCGGUUACAUCUGCAAGAUUACAACUCAAGGCCCUGCAACCACUCCUAAAACCUACCGACGACGGGCAGUGGCAGCAUCCUGUGGUGGUCUUGCGUUGGGGUCUUCUUCUAUUAUUGGACUCGUUGGUACUUGGUACUAUUUGGCAAGUCAUUUAUGAUUUAUCUUCACCAAAUUCCAAUUGACCGACGGUUAUAAUCAAGGCAUGAAUCCGAUUCUGAUGCUGUCAUUUUGCUUCUGUUCGUUCCGUAUGACUGUAUUAUCUAUCAAUUUGUUUUCUUGCAAUAUAUGACAAUUGAUAUCCAAAAUCCGACCAACCGCAUAAUGGCAUUUUGCUUCUGUGCUUCAGCCUUCAGUUCAAUGCUUUUGUUAAUUAUUAUCUAAUAUAUAUCAAUUUGUUUUCUUGCAAAGUUUUAGGUGUGAGAUUUAAAUUGAUUUCUUUGUUUAUUUGUUGAAUCUUGAUUCUUAAACUUGAAGACAUUGGAC